AGCCCCUGACAAUAGGCAAAGAGACACCUUGGUGGUGGUGGUGGUGUUCUUAUAUCAGUUAGGGGAAGAACAGAUGGCAGCCCUUUCUUUAUCCUAGCUUGAUGCCUGGCAUGGUGGUCAAAGCUGUCUUAUGCCUAAGACUCAUAA